rnacentral:rRNA from 1 species
CAGCCGCCCGCGGUAAAACCAGCACCUCAAGUGGUCAGGAGGAUUAUUGGGCCUAAAGCAUCCGUAGCCGGCCGUGUAAGUUUUCGGUUAAAUCUAUACGCUCAACGUAUAGGCUGCCGGGAAUACUGCACAGCUAGGGAGUGGGAGAGGUAGACGGUACUCGGUAGGAAGGGGUAAAAUCCUUUGAUCUAUUGAUGACCACCUGUGGCGAAGGCGGUCUACUAGAACACGUCCGACGGUGAGGGAUGAAAGCUGGGGGAGCAAACCGGAUUAGAUACCCGGGUAGUCCCAGCUGUAAACAAUGCAAACUCAGUGAUGCACUGGCUUGUGGCCAGUGCAGUGCCGCAGGGAAGCCGUUAAGUUUGCCGCCUGGGAAGUACGUACGCAAGUAUGAAACUUAAAGGAAUUGGC